ACGGCGUAGGAAUUCAUAGGAACGUACCCUCAGGACGGGGAUAGCUACGGGAAACUGUAGGUAAUACCCGAUGAUCUCCGCGGAGCAAAGGUGUGAUUCCGCCUGAGGAGCGGCUUAUGUGAUAUUAGCUAGUUGGUGGGGUAAUGGCCUACCAAGGCGAAGAUGUCUAGGGGGUGUGAGAGCAUGGCCCCCACGACCGGAACUGAGAUACUGUCCGGACACCUACGGGUGGCUGCAGUCGAGAAUCUUCCGCAAUGGACGAAAGUCUGACGGAGCGACGCCGCGUGCGGGAUGAAGGCCCUUGGGUUGUAAACCGCUUUCGGAGGGGAUGAAAUCCUCGAGGGUUCUCCCUCGAGGUUGACAGAGCCUCAAAAGAAGCACGGGCUAAGUACGUGCCAGCAGCCGCGGUAACACGUACUGUGCGAACGUUAUUCGGAAUCACUGGGCUUAAAGGGUGCGUAGGCGGCGAUUCAAGUCAGAUGUGAAAUGCCUGAGCUCAACUGAGGCAUUGCGUUUGAAACUGAAUUGCUAGAGUAUUUCAGGGGUGUGCGGAACUGCCAGUGGAGCGGUGAAAUGUGUUGA
rnacentral:rRNA from 1 species